rnacentral:rRNA from 1 species
UGGGGAAUUUUGGACAAUGGGCGAAAGCCUGAUCCAGCAAUGCCGCGUGUGUGAAGAAGGCCUUCGGGUUGUAAAGCACUUUUGUCCGGAAAGAAAUCCUUGGCUCUAAUACAGUCGGGGGAUGACGGUACCGGAAGAAUAAGCACCGGCUAACUACGUGCCAGCAGCCGCGGUAAUACGUAGGGUGCAAGCGUUAAUCGGAAUUACUGGGCGUAAAGCGUGCGCAGGCGGUUUGCUAAGACCGAUGUGAAAUCCCCGGGCUCAACCUGGGAACUGCAUUGGUGACUGGCAGGCUAGAGUAUGGCAGAGGGGGGUAGAAUUCCACGUGUAGCAGUGAAAUGCGUAGAGAUGUGGAGGAAUACCGAUGGCGAAGGCAGCCCCCUGGCAAGUACUGACGCUCAUGCACGAAAAGCGUGGGGAGCAAACAGGAUUAGAUACCCUGGUAGUCCACGCCCUAAAACGAUGUCAACUAGUUGUUGGGGGAUUCAUUUCCUUAGUAACGUAGCUAACGCGUGAAGUUGACCGCCUGGGGGAGUACGGUCGCAAGAUU